rnacentral:rRNA from 1 species
GAUGAACGCUGGCGGCGUGCCUAAUACAUGCAAGUCGAGCGAACGGACGAGAAGCUUGCUUCUCUGAUGUUAGCGGCGGACGGGUGAGUAACACGUGGAUAACCUACCUAUAAGACUGGGAUAACUUCGGGAAACCGGAGCUAAUACCGGAUGAUAUUUUGAACCGCAUGGUUCAAAAGUGAAAGACGGUCUUGCUGUCUCUUAUAGAUGGAUCCGCGCUGCAUUAGCUAGUUGGUAAGGUAACGGCUUACCAAGGCAACGAUGCAUAGCCGACCUGAGAGGGUGAUCGGCCACACUGGAACUGAGACACGGUCCAGACUCCUACGGGAGGCAGCAGUAGGGAAUCUUCCGCAAUGGGCGAAAGCCUGACGGAGCAACGCCGCAUGAGUGAUGAAGGUCUUCGGAUCGUAAAACUCUGUUAUUAGGGAAGAACAUAUGUGUAAGUAACUGUGCACAUCUUGACGGUACCUAAUCAGAAAGCCACGGCUAACUACGUG